AAUCAACGCUGGCGGCGUGCCUCAGACAUGCAAGUCGAACGAUUAAAGCUCUCUUCGGAGAGUGCAUAAAGUGGCGCACGGGUGAGUAACACGUAAGUAAUCUACCUUCGAGUGGGGAAUAACGUCCGGAAACGGACGCUAAUACCGCAUAACGCAGCGGCAUCGCAAGAUGACAGUUGUUAAAGAUUUAUCGCUUGAAGAGGAGCUUGCGGCAGAUAGCUUGUUGGUAAGGUAACGGCUUACCAAGGCUACGAUCUGUAUCCGGUCUAAGAGGACGGUCGGACACACUGACACUGAAUAACGGGUCAGACUCCUACGGGAGGCAGCAGUCGGGAAUUUUGGGCAAUGGGGGAAACCCUGACCCAGCAACGCCGCGUGAAGGAUGAAAUCCCUCGGGAUGUAAACUUCGCAAGAACGGGAAGAAUAAGUAGGGGACAAUACCCCCUAUGAUGACGGUACCGUUGUAAGCUCCGGCUAACUCCGUGCCAGC
rnacentral:rRNA from 1 species